rnacentral:rRNA from 1 species
CACGUAGGGUGCGAGCGUUGUCCGGAAUUAUUGGGCGUAAAGAGCUCGUAGGCGGUGUGUCGCGUCGGCCGUGAAAACCUGCAGCUUAACUGUGGGCUUGCGGUCGAUACGGGCAUCACUGGAGUUCGGCAGGGGAGACUGGAAUUCCUGUGUAGCGGUGAAAUGCGCAGAUAUCAGGAGGAACACCGGUGGCGAAGGCGGGUCUCUGGGCCGAUACUGACGCUGAGGAGCGAAAGCGUGGGGAGCGAACAGG